GCCUCCGUGGUUCAGUGGUAGAGCGUUGGGCUCGCAAUCCGAAGGCCCCGGGUUCGAAUUCCGGUGGGGACA